AUUGAACGCUGGCGGCAUGCUUUACACAUGCAAGUCGAACGGUAACAGGUUAAGCUGACGAGUGGCGAACGGGUGAGUAAUGCAUCGGAACGUGCCCGGUCGUGGGGGAUACCGCAGCGAAAGCUGCGCUAAUACCGCAUACGAUCCGAGGAUGAAAGCGGGGGACCGUAAGGCCUCGCGCGAUCGGAGCGGCCGAUGUCAGAUGCGGUAGUUGGUGGGGUAAAGGCUGACCAAGCCAACGAUCUGUAGCUGGUCUGAGCGGACGACCAGCCACACUGGGCCUGAGCCACGGCCCAGCCUCCUACGGGAGGCAGCAGUGGGGAAUUUUGGACAAUGGGCGAAAGCCUGUUCCAGCAAUGCCGCGUGCAGGAAGGAGGCCUUCGGGUUGUAAACUGCUCUUGUACGGAGCGAAAAGGUCUCUUCUAAUACAGGGGGCUCAUGACGGUACCGUAAGAAGAAGCACCGGCUAACUACGUGCCAGCAGCCGCCGUAA
rnacentral:rRNA from 1 species